CUAAUAAUUAGAAAUUUCUAUAUGUGGCAUCCUAGUAUUGACAAGGAUGUCUACAAAGCAUGCUAUGUGCGAUGCUCUCUCCGGUACAGGGACAUAAUGAACAAGCUCAAAAAUAAAGAGAGAGAGCAAUUAGAGCAACAAGAAAGAGAGCGGGUUGAGAGGGAGAGUUAGGGCUUGGAGUUAGAGGAAGAAAAAGAAUCGUAUUCCUCAGAUUUUACCCCAUCAGAGUUCUGGAGUGCCUUGAAAAAUUACUCUGAUGCCUCGGAGUUUAAGGCCAAAGCUCUUGGGGUAAGAGUAACAAGCACAAAGGGGACUCCGAUGCACCACCGCUACCUACCUACCGUGAUGGUCCCAUUUCUGCAGCGCGAUUGCGCGAAAGGAUGAGACGCCACUUCUAUUUGCCUUCUUCAACUGGUAAAUUUUUUUGAUUCAAUUCUAAAUCUUUUUGCAAAGAGAAUGGUUUUUUAUCUGCCUAUCUUUUUUUUCUCUCCACUCUAGCAAUUCCUUUUUUAACUCGCCUUCAUUAGGCUUUCGAGUAGUGCAAUUGGGGGAUGCUUUGGUAAAUGAGUAGAGUUAAUUGUGGAUGUAAAGCACUGCAUCAUCUUCUGGACUGUGCCUCAAGUUCGAGUUGAACAUUAACUGCACAUUACCUAUAUGAGUUCUAGUUGAACAUUUUCUAGUGGGAAGAUUCAUUUAAGGCUAAUUUUUAGUUUUUCAAAUGGAACUUCAAUGACGGGAAUAUGCUAGCAGGCGAGCAAUGACUAUGUUACCGUGUUUCUCACCUCGUCGUGAAGUUGUAGGCAAUUUUUUGUUGGUGAAGUUGAAACUACAUCUUUUGUUUCACAGCUUGUACUCAAAGCUAAAGAAAAUCUUGUCUCUCUUGACAAAAAUUACCGCGCUAUUCGUAUACCUUCUAAAGUGAAAGCAAAGUCUUAGUUCAUGAGGCAUGAGAACAUAAUGUGAUUGAACAAAAUAACCUGUUUCCAUUGAAUGAAAGGAUGGGAACUAAAUGACUACCUACAACAAUUUGUAUUAUUGAUGGCUAAUUACAAUAAAUUGAACUUAUAUAAAGGCAAUUUUAUUUUUGUGAAAUUUUUUUUUUUAAGAGGUGUAUAUAGAAGUAGGAAGUACGUACAAGUUUAGAAGCUGAGUCUUGUGCUUAUUCUGUAUUAGAAGUAAAGUUGAUUCAAAUUUGUUGUAAUAUCUUUGUAUGGAGUACUCAGGUACUCUUCUGAGCAUCAAAUUGAGGAAUCAAACAAACUUGAUCAACUACAUGGGAAAUUUCCACGUGAGCAAAAGUCAUGAAGAAAAAUUGUUAUAUUUGUGGCAUAAAAUAGCAUUAAGAACUCAUAAGCCAUAAUCAGCACUAAGUUUUGUAUAUACUCUCAAUGUCCCUGUGAAAAAUGAGAAUUAAUUUUGAAUUUUGUUAUUGAUCUUGUGAUGUUUUGAUAGUGAUUAAUAUAUUUCUUUAAAUUGUUUAUUUAUUUGCUAAUUUUAAAUUGACUUACUUUUGCAAAUGAGAGAUAAAUGGGAAAGACAUUACCUUUGGUGGCUGAAGCUUGGCAACCACAACGCCAACUUAAUAACCCUACUAGAGAAUCAAUACGAGACAUGUGAGGGCGCUUACAAGCUCUUGAAGAGAUAUGCCAAGUGCCAACAAUUACGGAAUGCAUUACAAGGUGAAAGUAGUAAUGCAAGCCGUGGAUCAGGAGUAGGUGGUCGUCAAGGUUUGGGAGGUGAUAUGGGUGGUAGCCCUGGUGGAUCUAGUGGUUCUCGAGGAUCACAUAAUACCCGAGGUGGUGGUAGUCACUCUAGCCGUGGUGGUUAUUUUAAAGU